rnacentral:rRNA from 1 species
AACUGCGAGUGAAGCGGGAAAAGCUCAAAUUUAAAAUCUGGCGGUCUUUGGCYGUCCGAGUUGUAAUUUAGAGAAGCGUCUUCCGCGCCGGGCCGUGCACAAGUCUCCUGGAAUGGAGCGUCAUAGAGGGUGAGAAUCCCGUCUUUGGCACGGACGCCUGUGCUUCUGYGAUGCGCUCUCGAAGAGUCGAGUUGUUUGGGAAUGCAGCUCAAAAUGGGUGGUGAACUCCAUCUAAAGCUAAAUAUUGGCGAGAGACCGAUAGCGAACAAGUACCGUGAGGGAAAGAUGAAAAGCACUUUGGAAAGAGAGUGAAACAGUACGUGAAAUUGUUGAAAGGGAAACGCUUGAAGUCAGUCGCGUCGACCGAGACUCAGCCUCGCCUUGGCUUGGUGUACUUCUCGGCCCGACGGGUCAGCGUCGAUUUUGCCCCUCGGAUAAUGGCAAGGGAAAGGUGGCACCUUCACGGGUGUGUUAUAGUCUCCUGUCGCAUGCGAGGGGCGGGAUCGAGGAACUCAGCGCGCACCUCGGUGUCGGGGCUUCG